UGUGCUCCUGCUUACAGUUAAAGGCGCUGCAUGGUCAAUUCUGUUUUUAUUUUACCUUUAUUUAACUAGGCAAGUCAGUUAAGAACAGAUUCUUACUUACAAUGACCGCCUAGGAACAGUGGGUUUAACUGCCUUGUUCAGGGGCAGACUUUUACCGUGUCAGCUCAGGGAUUCGAUCUAGAAACCUUUCGGUUACUAGCCCAGCUGUAACCACUAGGCUAGCUGCCGCCCGGUGUGUCUGCAUUGGCCGUGCAGCAUUUACCGCGAUAUGUCCUCUGCAUAAAUCAGGGCAUUCGUGGUUCUUGCGAUUCGCCGAUCAGCGCAGAGCUGUCGUAAAGGAAGUUGACAAGGAAGUGAGUUUGUGUUUAUACAUUCGUAGCCCUCCGCAUUGUUACAACAUUUGAGACUGUAUGGAGCUAAAUUUGGCCUCCGCGCGCCUUAGGCUACAUGUACAGUCUUUAUGGCGUUACAUAAAAAGUAUGUCAACAGAGAGUCUCUGCACUGUCUGAAAGGAUACAUUUGGUAACAGUUCAUUUUGGUAAUCACUAUGAAAGUAAUAGGGCCUGAAUUAUUCUAUCAAUGACCUUGUAAUAUAGUUGUAGUAGCAGCACAUAAUAAAUCAUUAUUUGGUGGAUGCUUAUAUUUGUCAAAUUUCACACAUGUGUAUAAUAUGUGUAUAAUAUAAUGUGUAUAAUAUAAUAAUUCACAUGUGAUUUUUUUAAUUUAUUUUUUGCAUAUUCCAACUCGCUCCUAAGACACAUUCAGAGAGUGAGGUCACAACCAGGGUCAGCCAUUAUCAAUGGCGACCCUGGAGCAAUUAGGGUUAAGUGCCUUGCUCAAGGGCACAUCAACCGAUUUUUCACCUUAUCAGCUCUGGGGUUUGAACUAGCGACCUUUCGGUUAGUGACCCAAAGUUCUAACGGCUAGGCUACCUGCCAUGUUCUGUGAAGUACAGUAUAUAAUAUGAUACAGUAUACUGUGUGAUAGCCUUAUAUUCACUAAAACAAAUUUCCUUUGCAUCAGUUCAUUAUAAAACUAAAGGUAAAAAAUGAUAGCAUUUUUAAAAAUAAUUCAUAAACAGAAUUAUGUUUGCUCCACGUCUAAUGUGAAAACAUCCUCUAAAAUCUUCCUUGACACACUGUUUAGGAUGUGUCAUAAAGUACACGUAGUUGACCGUAAGGAAAGAUAAGAUGAUUCUGCUAAGUGCCUUGGAACAAUGGUUUAUUGGGCCUCUGGGUUCAACCAAGGGUCAUAUUCUUUAGGCACCAAACGGAAACAAAACAGACUGAAACAGGGAGGGACUACCUGAACUUGUCCAAUAAGAAAGUCUUGUUUUCCUUUUCUAUUGCAAAACGUUUUGCUACAGUGUGCAUCAAUGAAUAUGACACAGGAGUCAGCUGACAACAGGUGCACUCAUUGCAGACACUGUAGAACUGUACAGUACUUCCCCACAUCUGAUAGGCACGCCCACAAUACAGGACAAGCCAUAACAUGUUAGUCACUGCUAUUACUGUUGUGACCAGGAAUAUGAGAACACUCAUGAUAGGAGGGAAAUUAUGUCCACAUCAGUUCUGAAUCUGGUGCCAGUGCAGGCCUUUGAAACAUAUGUAGUAUUGUUUGAAAACCCAUAAACAUUUGCAGUGAGUGCCCUGGCCUGAAAUAAACCAAAAGAAUGACAUAUUUGGAGAACUAGCCUAGGGUCAAAUGUGCUCUGUAAUGUUCAAUAAAGACACACAUUCCUUGGCAUGUAUUAGAAACAACCUGCCAAUCAAUAUUGCACAAUCUAGCCUUAUCAAUCGUUGUUUGUCAUUUUAUCAAUUGAGGUAUGUUCCAAUCACAGUUGAACUGUUUUAUAAGACAUGGACAGAUGCUCCUGUCCUGUGUUGUUAUUCCGUCUAUCAAUGAGUACAUUGAGCAAGCCAAUUCAUUUGGACAACUGUUUUACGUAAGUGUGCAAGCAUUCUCCCAGUGAUAUCAAUCAAAUAACAUGUUGUGUCCUAACCCAGCAUGCUAUUGAUUGCAGGUGUGGUGUUCCUAACAUACACAGCAUCACUUUUGACAGAUUAUUUUUGACAGAUUAUAUGCACUGUCGCUUGCUGCAGUGGAAAGUGUACUGUGCCAAUCAACUUUCAAGUGGAGACCAAGAGAAUAUCCCUAAUUUACAUUUUCCAAUAUUCCAUUUAAUUUGGUAACUGUCUAGUAUUUUAUGAAUCAAUAUUUCAGAUAUUUAUGAGUAUCUUUUUGUUCCACAAAAUAAUAUAAAAUAGUGUAACUAUAUAUAGUCCUUAAUUCAUCUUUACUUGGGUAAUUGGGCACCCAUAGUCAGUGAGGGCCAAAGGAAUAUCCAGAAUUAGUUUAUGGAUAGUGUAAUGUAUGAUUUUUUUCUAGGCCCACCCCACAAACUUCCAAGUGAAUUAGCCUACAAUGAUAAUCAGCUGCCUACUUGAUUGCAAAGUCAUCUUUGAGGAAACACAGCGCACAAAAUUGUAAUAACAAUGUAACAACAGGACUGAGCAUAACCGUAAAACAGCAGCUGAUUAGGAGGCGAGACUUGCACAAGGGAUCCACAAUUUACGUCACCAAGGCUAUAUAACGAAGUUAACUUCUGACCUUAGCAGAAACUUCACUGCUGACUGAUAAGCCUUACAGAGCUGCAUAAAUUCAGAUACUCAAUCUACUCUGUACCACAAGCACAACAUAACUCUGGAAGAGGUCGACAAAGAAACAGAACGCAAGCCCAAUCAAUAUGACCGGAAAAGAUCUAACUGCCGUUCUGGACUGUGCGCAUCAGCUGCGUAAAGUUGGAGACGGCCUCGCUAGUGACGUCCUGGACUGGAGAUUCAAAUUGUUGGAAAUAUUGACAACACAUUACAAGAAUAUAAUCAAAGUGAAGUGAGGAACUUCAACCCACUCACUGAAGAUCACGGAAACAAGAAGACGGAAUACUACCUCAGUGCCCGAGGGCAACGGUUUUGUUAACCAUGCUGUGGGCGGGAUGGAGGGUUCCAGUUCGCCCUCGGUGAUUCAAAGGGUGCAUUUGCGGCCACCUGAGGUGAAGUCAAGAGGAUACUCUGCCUGGACCUGGCCCAGAAUCAAUGCCAAGGUGGCUGGUGCUCCCCACGAAGUCAUGGAGAAAGGGAACAGUGAACCUGUGACAUUGUAAUGGCAAAACCAGUGGACCACCAUGUGUCGUUUGACAUUUGGCCAGUGGUGGAAAAAGUACCCAAUUUUCAUACUUGAGUAAAAGUAAAGAUACCUUAAAAGAAAAUGACUCAGGUAAACGUGAAAGUCACCCAGUCAAAUACUACUUGAGUAAAACUUUAAAAUUAUUUGGUUUUAAAUAUACUUAAGUAUCAAAAGUAAAUGGAAUUGCUCAAAUGUAAAAUAGUAUCAAAAGUAAAAGUAUAAAUCAUUUAAAAUUCAUUAUAUUAAGCAAACCGAUUUUGUUUUUAAAAUUUACAGAUAGCCAGCGGCACACUAAUACUCAGACAUAAUUUACAAACUAAGCAUUUGUGUUUAUUAAGUCCGCCAGAUCAGAGGCACUAGGGAUGUUCUCUUGAUAAGUGUGUGAAUUGAACCAUUUUCCUGUCCUGCUAAGCAUGCAAAAUGUACUUCUGGGUGUAUGGAGUAAAAAUAACAUAAUUUUCUUUAGGAAUGUAGUAAGGUAAAAGUUGUCAAAAAAUAUAAUUAGUAAAGCACAGAUACCCCAAAAAACGACUUAAGUAUUUUUACACCACUGCAUUUGGCAGACCUGUGGCCAGUCAUAUAGACGAUCUGACUCAAAACGGGGGUCCAGAGCCCAAACAAAACUAUCAUACAAAGUGUGAUGAAACAAAUGAUUAUCUGUUGUUGGGGACAAGUGUCCUAUCAUGUUCAACUACGUCGAGAUCAUGGGCACAAAGUGGCCUUCAAAGUGCUUUAAUGUGUUAUGUGAGUUAUUUUUGCUUCCAUUAAUUACUACACGUACCACUAAAAGCUGUGUUCAAAAACUGCAUCUUGUGAAGUUAGUUAUCCAUUGUUAGUGUUUUUGAUUCUCAUGUUAAAAUAAAAAAAAGUCAGACAA